UAUUCUGCCCCAUGGGGAAGGAUGAGAAGCUUCGACUAAGGUUCGACUCGAGCGCCAGCGAGAGA
rnacentral:sRNA from 1 species